rnacentral:rRNA from 1 species
UACAGAGGUCUCAAGCGUUGUUCGGAAUCACUGGGCGUAAAGGGUGCGUAGGCGGCGAGGAAAGUCAGAUGUGAAAUCCGGGGGCUCAACCCCCGAAUGGCAUCCGAAACUUCCCCGCUCGAGAUUUGUAGAGGAGUCUGGAACUCUCGGUGUAGCAGUGAAAUGCGCAGAUAUCAGGAAGAACACCAAUGCGAAGGCAGCUCUCUGG